rnacentral:rRNA from 1 species
UACGUAGGGGGGCUAGCGUUGUCCGGAUUUAUUGGGCGUAAAGAGCGUGUAGGCGGCCAGGUAGGUCCGGUGUGAAAACUCGAGGCUUAACCUCGAGAUGUCAUCGGAAACCAUCUGGCUAGAGUCCGGAAGAGGAAAGUGGAAUUCCUGGUGUAGCGGUGAAAAUGCGCAGAUAUCAGGAAGAACACCAAUGGCGAAAGCAGCUUUCUGGGACGGUACUGACGCUGAGACGCGAAAGCGUGGGGAGCGAACAGG